UAGUUGCAUCAUGCACUAAUAUAUGAUGAUGUUCAAAGAGGUUUGGAGCCUUCGUUGUCUCCGUUUUUCAAGAAAAUAGUUAUUUUAUAGUGGUUGUUCCAACGAUUUAGGGAGUACUAUGAAGUUUUAUUAAAUUAAUUGAUAAAAAAUUAUAACGAUUAACAUAUACCAUGAAAAAUACCUUAAAAUACAUAAGUACAAAUAUAGAAUGUGGUUAGAAAUUUUAAAACAUCACUAAAGAUUAUAAGCUUCAGUAUAUAAAGAUUUUACCACAAACUCAAUAUUUUGAAGGGGUUAACACAUGGAUUUUGAGAAAAUUUCGAAAAAUAUGACAAUAUUUUUUUAAUACAUAGUUGCAUCAUUCACUAAUAUAUGAUGAUGUUCAAAGAGGUUUGGAGCCUUCGUUUUCUCCGUUUUUCAAGAAAAUAGUUAUUUUAUAGUAGUUAUUUCAUCGAUUUAGGGAGUAUUAUGAAGUUUUACUAAAUUAAUUGAUAAACAAAUUUUAACGAUUCCCAUAUACCAUGAAAAAGAGCUUAAAAUACAUUAAUACAAAUGUAAAAUGUGGUUAGACAUUUUAAAAUAAAACUAAAGAUUACAGGCUUCAGUAUUUAAAGUAUUUACUAAAAACUCAAUAUUUUGCGAAGGUGUUAACAUAUUGAUUUUGAGAAAAUUUCAAAAAA